ensembl:snRNA U6 U6 spliceosomal RNA
GUGCUUGCUUUGGCAACACAUAGACUAAAACUGGAACAACACAGAGAAGAUUAGCAUGGCCCUGCACAAGGAUGACAUGCAAAUUUAUGAAGCAUUCCCUAUUUUU